rnacentral:rRNA from 1 species
UACGUAGGGGGCAAGCGUUGUCCGGAUUUAUUGGGCGUAAAGAGCGUGUAGGCGGCCUUACAGGUCAGCUGUGAAAACUCGAGGCUCAACCUCGAGACGUCGGUUGAAACCGUAUGGCUAGAGUCCGGAAGAGGAGAGUGGAAUUCCCGGUGUAGCGGUGAAAUGACGCAGAUAUCGGGAAGAACACCCGUGGCGAAGGCGGCUCUCUGGGACGGUACUGACGCUGAGACGCGAAAAGCGUGGGGAGCGAACAGGG